rnacentral:rRNA from 1 species
AGGAUGAACGCUGGCGGUGCGCUUAACGCAUGCAAGUCGAGCGAGAUCUAUUUGAUCUUCGGAUUGAGUAGUGACAGCGGCGAACGGCUGAGUAACGCGUGAGUGACCUGCCCUUCAGUGGGGGACAACCCUGGGAAACUAGGGCUAAUACCGCAUAUACCUGCCGCUUGCGGGCGGUAAGGGAAAGCCUUCGGGCGCUGGAGGAGGGGCUCGCGUCCUAUCAGGUAGUUGGUAAGGUAACGGCUUACCAAGCCUAAGACGGGUAGCUGGUCUGAGAGGAUGGUCAGCCAGAGGGGGACUGAGACACGGCCCCCACUCCUACGGGAGGCAGCAGCGGGGAAUAUUGCGCAAUGGGCGAAAGCCUGACGCAGCGACACCGCGUGGAGGAAGACGGCCUUCGGGUUGUAAACUCCUUUUGCUAGGGAAGAGAUAGGACGGUACCUAGCGAAUAAGCCCCGGCUAACUACGUGCCAGCAGCCGCGGUAAUACGUAGGGGGCGAGCGUUAUCCGGAAUUAUUGGGCGUAAAGGGCGCGUAGGCGGCAUGGUGCGUCUUUGGUGAAAGCUCCCUGCUUAACGGGGAGAGGUCCAGAGAUACGGCCAAGCUAGAGGGCAGUAGAGGCGAGCGGAAUUCCUCAUGGAGCGGUGAUAUGCGUAGAUAUGAGGAGGAACACUAGAGGCGAAGGCGGCUCGCUGGGCUGUACCUGACGCUGAGGCGCGAGAGCGUGGGGAGCAAACCGGAUUAGAUACCCGGGUAGUCCACGCCCUAAACGAUGGACGCUAGGCAUAGGGGGUAUCGACCCCUCCUGUGCCGAAGCUAACGCGAUAAGCGUCCCGCCUGGGGAGUACGGCCGCAAGGCUAAAACUCAAAGGAAUUGACGGGGCCCCGCACAAGCAGCGGAGCGUGUGGUUUAAUUCGAUGCAAAGCGAAAAACCUUACCAGGGCUUGAAAUA